AGCGAACGCUGGCGGCAGGCCUAACACAUGCAAGUCGAACGGACCCUUCGGGGUUAGUGGCGGACGGGUGAGUAACACGUGGGAACGUGCCUUUAGGUUCGGAAUAGCUCCUGGAAACGGGUGGUAAUGCCGAAUGUGCCCUUCGGGGGAAAGAUUUAUCGCCUUUAGAGCGGCCCGCGUCUGAUUAGCUAGUUGGUGAGGUAAAGGCUCACCAAGGCGACGAUCAGUAGCUGGUCUGAGAGGAUGACCAGCCACAUUGGGACUGAGACACGGCCCAAACUCCUACGGGAGGCAGCAGUGGGGAAUCUUGCGCAAUGGGCGAAAGCUUGACGCAGCCAUGCCGCGUGAAUGAUGAAGGUCUUAGGAUUGUAAAAUUCUUUUACCAGGGACGAUAAUGACGGUACCUGGAGAAAAAGCCCCGGCUAACUUCGUGCCAGCAGCCGCUGUAACAC
rnacentral:rRNA from 1 species